UAUAAAAAGAAAAUCCUUAUAAUAAUAAGAAAACUGAUUGUUGCAUGUGCUCUUUCUUCUGUUUUGCUCAUGAUUUAAUAGGUAGGGUUGUUGGAAUCGUUGAAAAAGAACAAAUUUGAUUGGUUGAAAGAGAUUAUAUAAAAAAAGGAAUAAAACACAUUUGUACGCUUGCAUCUCCUAAACAACUUUUCCUCAGUAUUGUACUAAUCAUCAGCAAAGCAACUUCCCCUUACUGCUCACUCACGUGCAUCCUCAUCAUGCCGAAGAGAACGUGCCUUUUUUAAAGGUUUCUAACAUCGGAGUACUACUACCAUCACUUCGACAUCUUCAGAGAGUAUUUAAACAGCCUUGAUGAUGAUUUGGCAACAACCAGAAGAGCACAUGAAAUAAUUAAUAAUUAUUCCUUAAGAUAAGAAGUCGUAUUGAUACAGGAAAUUUUUUGUCAAAAACCUUUGGCAAUAACUCCACUUGAGGAAAGAUUAUCUCUUCUUACCAGCCUAACCAUAGUAGAAAAUCGGACUCAAGAUUUGAAGGAUGAGCCAUUCAAGACCAAGUUAAAAGAAGUGUUUCAAAAGAAUCCUGGCUACAGAAAACUAAAGGAAGUGUCAACAAGUGACAACCUUGUAUACAAAAUAUUGUCAAUUGUGAUGCUGAGAGAGUCUUUAGUAUGAGGAAUAUCAUCAAUAUGAAAAGGAGGUCCAAAAUAAGUACUAAGAAAUUGAGGGAAUUGUUGAUCACCAAACGGAAUGAAUGUUUCGUUAUCAUUUAAUUGUCAACACAUGUGGUACCAAAGUUAUUUAUUCAUCCUUUAUGGUCAGUGGUCACAAAAAAGUUACGAGUACACUUCCUGCAAUGAUGGGUUGUAUGUUCUCUAACUAACAAUAUAUUUUGUCUUUCAUAAAUUUACAGAAUAUAAUAUACAUUUAUAAAAUAAUAUAAUUUAUAGGGAUGUUAUAUAUUAAUAAUAUACAACAAUUCCUCUUCCUG
rnacentral:lncRNA from 1 species